CGGAGGAUCCAAGCGUUAUCCGGAACCAGUUGGGUUUAAAGGGUCCGUAGGCGGGUUUAUAAGUCAGUGGUGAAAGCCCAUCGCUCAACGAUGGAACGGCCAUUGAUACUGUAGAUCUUGAAUUAUUAGGAAGUAACUAGAAUAUGUAGUGUAGCGGUGAAAUGCUUAGAGAUUACAUGGAAUACCAAUUGCGAAGGCAGGUUACUACUAAUGGAUUGACGCUGAUGGACGAAAGCGUGGGUAGCGAACAGGAUUAGAUACCCUGGUAGUCCACGCCGUAAACGAUGGAUACUAGCUGUUCGGAGCAAUCUGAGUGGCUAAGCGAAAGUGAUAAGUAUCCCACCUGGGGAGUACGUUCGCAAGAAUG
rnacentral:rRNA from 1 species